UGCCGAAGUUUUCCUCGGCAGUUAAUUGCAACCGGUUCUUUAAAAUUUCGGCAGUUAACUACUGAGGGGCAU
rnacentral:pre_miRNA from 1 species